rfam:Gossypium hirsutum cultivar TM-1 chromosome 3, whole genome shotgun sequence
CUCAAGGGAGCGCUUUGUCCACGUGGACAGAAAGUGCAUCCUUGAGGGCGCACUUUCUGUCCACGUGGACAAAGCGCUUGCUUGAGU